rnacentral:lncRNA from 13 species
GUCAUGCCCCUGGUAAUUAUGACUUCACGUCUAUUUAACUGUGUGCCAGGCACUGUGCUAGGAGCCUUGCUCAACUCAUCCAAUCCUCAGCCUCAGCCUAGAACUCAGACAUUCCCGUUAUCCAGGGCACAGAGUAGGCACAGCCACAAGCCUGCUGCUGCAAGGGAGGAUGACAUGGGCAAACACAGGCCGGGAUGGGUGAAAGGGUCUCUCAAGGAAAUGAGGCGGAGUUGGGCCUGGAAGAGCAGCAGAACAUGUGCCCUGCCCUGCCACAUGCCUGGAUCCCAGAGCAAGAUGGAGCCAGCAGCCACCCCUGUCUGUCACCCUGGCCUUCCCUCCAGGACUCCUGCUCCUUGAACAUGCAGCCUGGGUUCCAGAAGGAGGUCAUAUGGCCCGUCAGAGACCACCAGGGAAGCAUCACAGACUGCAGCCAGCCGGCGAGUUCAGCUACGGGUUUGCACCAAGCCUGGCUCCAGAGUGAGGCCUGGCUGAUGCAGGCUGGGACCACCCUGCCUGGACCAGCAGUAUGGAAAUGGCCAUCGCGACCACCAUGCUCAGACCUUCGACACCGGCUUGUCUGCACCUGGGGAUGGUGAAGCCAGGGAGCUGCCGCGGGCCUGAGGGAGGAUGCGAAGCUCCAGGCUGCCCUCUGCUGCCUCCGGAGCGUGCUGCAGUCUUGGCCAACGUGGACUUAAAUACAACCUGCUUCGAUCUUCAGAAAUAUUACCCACGAGACCUGCUUUCCCCAAAAUGCAUUCGGCUGCCCACGCGUGGGAUGUUACAGAAUAAAGAAAAUAGAGAUAUGCUCCAGAUCAUGUUCCCAAUGCCAAAAAUCUCCCCAACUCCCAGGAAUCUAGAGUCUUUGAAAUGUAGAUCAUGGAGUAGUAUCUUUUUGAUAACAGAAGUAAAACUGUUUAUGUGAAAUGCUUUUUCUCUGCAAAUAGCAACUCAAGAAGAGACCAGGAACUAUAAUCAGAAGGGAUUUUUGUCCCGGGGGGAGAUUUCUUGCCUGCGUGGUCUAGGUGGGUUGUGGUCUUCCAGUUUCUGCCCCUAAAUCCGCAUGUGAUUGGCUCCACCUCUCAGGGCUGUCACAAUACUUCACAAGAGAAAUGCGAGAAAGCACGCUUUUAAAGCCGUGUGCACAGCUGCUGGUUUUAAUGUCAUUAUCUUUCAGGGAAUUUGUAACUUGUCUCCCAGAGGCUCAAUUGUAUUGAAAAUGUAAGGUCUAUUUAAUGAAAAUUAUCAAGGAAGUUCCUGGGGAAAAACUUAAGAGUAGUCAAGCAUUAGGCCAGCCCCAGCUCUGCGGUUUGAAUAAAGCACAGACUGCAGAAGCCGCA